rnacentral:rRNA from 1 species
AUUAAACGCUGGCGGCAUGCCUUACACAUGCAAGUCGAACGGCAGCACGGGGGCAACCCUGGUGGCGAGUGGCGGACGGGUGAGUAAAGCAUCGGAACGUAUCCUGGAGUGGGGGAUAACGUAGCGAAAGUUACGCUAAUACCGCAUAUUCUGUGAGCAGGAAAGCAGGGGGAUCGCAAGACCUUGCGCUCUGGGAGCGGCCGAUGUCGGAUUAGCUAGUUGGUGGGGUAAAGGCCUACCAAGGCGACGAUCCGUAGCGGGUCUGAGAGGAUGAUCCGCCACACUGGGACUGAGACACGGCCCAGACUCCUACGGGAGGCAGCAGUGGGGAAUUUUGGACAAUGGGCGGAAGCCUGAUCCAGCCAUGCCGCGUGAGUGAAGAAGGCCU